rnacentral:rRNA from 1 species
AUGCGGGCAGACUCAGACGUCACAGACGAUACAAGGGAAAGUAAACACAUCCGCGUACCUCUUCCGCAACGCAGAAACCGGCCUGACUCAUCGCUCAACGUCAGUGCCAACCUAGCGUUCAGCAAGAGCACGCACACUUGCACCUUUAUAGAGUAUUCUCACCUCCCAGCUCAGCCUUCACUUCCCUCUCCUCUCCUUCCUCCACCCACUCCACUCAGAGCUCCAGAAGCUCCGAUGGCGGCCCAGAAGGUGGUGCUGAGGGUCCCGACCAUGACCGACGACAAGGUGAAGCAGAAGGCUAUUGAAGCGGUCGCGGACAUCUACGGUAUUGAUUCCAUAGUUGCAGAUCUGAAGGACAAUAAGAUGAUCAUCAUAGGCGAGAUGGACACUGUGGCAAUCGCAAAGAAAUUAAAGAAGGUUGGGAAGAUUGACAUUGUGUCUGUUGGACCUGCAAAAGAAGAAAAGAAAGAAGAGAAGAAAGAAGAAAAGAAAGAGGAGAAGAAAGAGGAAAAGAAAGAAGAGAAGAAAGAGGAGAAGAAAGAAGAGAAGAAAUGA